GGAAGGUGCAAGCGUUAAUCGGAAUUACUGGGCGUAAAGCGCGCGUAGGUGGUUUGUUAAGUUGGAUGUGAAAGCCCUGGGCUCAACCUAGGAACUGCAUCCAAAACUAACUCACUAGAGUACGAUAGAGGGAGGUAGAAUUCAUAGUGUAGCGUGGAAUGCGUAGAUAUUAUGGAGAAUACCAGUGGCGAAGGCGCCUCCUGGAUCUGUACUGACACUAAGGUGCGAAACGUGGGUAGCCAACAUGGAUUAGAUACCCUG
rnacentral:rRNA from 1 species